rnacentral:rRNA from 1 species
AACGAACGCUGGCGGCAGGCCUAACACAUGCAAGUCGAACGCCCCGCAAGGGGAGUGGCGCACGGGUGAGUAACGCGUGGGAAUAUGCCCUUCGGUUCGGAAUAACACAGGGAAACUUGUGCUAAUACCGGACACGAUCUACGGAUGAAAGAUUUAUUGCCGAGGGAGUAGCCCGCGUAGGAUUAGCUAGUUGGUGAGGUAAUGGCUCACCAAGGCGACGAUCCUUAGCUGGUCCGAGAGGAUGAUCAGCCACACUGGGACUGAGACACGGCCCAGACUCCUACGGGAGGCAGCAGUGGGGAAUAUUGGACAAUGGGCGAAAGCCUGAUCCAGCCAUGCCGCGUGAGUGAUGAAGGCCUUAGGGUUGUAAAGCUCUUUCGCCAGGGAAGAUAAUGACGGUACCUGGAAAAGAAGCCUCGGCUAACUCCGUGCCAGCCGCCGCUGUAA